GGUGACAUUGAUGAGUUGCACCAUCCGACAGGUUGCUGUUGGCAUUUGCACGGCAAACCUGUCCUGACUUACCUGUGGUGACACCCACUGUGCACAGGGGCCAUCUGAGUCACC